GCCUCCAUUUAUGUAUUACAUGUACGUUACCAGUGACGUCACUGGAAAGAGAGAAGUCUGACGUCUGCAAGUUCUAGGGCCUAGCUAAAGUGUAUUACAUAAUGGAGACGUGGGUUACCAAAAACAGAAAAUAUUGACCAUGUUGAGCCAGUGAGCUGUCUUGGUCAGCACCCAGGUGUAUCCAUCAACACGGGCACGUUAUAUCAAAAUGCAGAUAUGCAUUCCAGGAUGGUGACUGAAGCUCAUCUUUGUAAACACCUAUAUGCCUAGAAUGGACUCCAAAACAGAUUAUUAAAGUUUAACCAGUAUAAUCUUGAAUAUGGACAAAAAGUAUACACUUGGAACACAAACAAAAACAGAUGAGUCCAUGCCAAGCUAAAGAUUAAUGCAGAAGAUAAAAGAGAACUGGAGAAGAAUGAAUUGAUGUUAACAUACUCAACAUUAAAUUUGGCUUAAAUCUAAA